GGAUUAGUGGCGGACGGGUGAGUAACACGUGAGUAACCUGCCUUAGACAUUGGGAUAGCCUCGGGAAACCGGGAUUAAUACCAAAUAAAAUCAUAAUGACACAUGUCAUAACGAUCAAAACUCCGGUGGUCUAAGAUGGACUCGCGUCCCAUUAGCUAGUUGGUAGAGUAAAAGCCUACCAAGGCGACGAUGGGUAGCCGGCCUGAGAGGGUGAACGGCCACAUUGGAACUGAGAAACGGUCCAA
rnacentral:rRNA from 1 species